GGCGAAGUGGCGGAGUGGUUAACGCGAUUGACUAGAACUUAUCUACUCUGAAUCUUUCAGACGUGGCUGUUUAAAUCAAUUUCCUUCGGGAGCGUAGGUUCAAAUCCUGCCUUCGUCG